GACGAACGCUGGCGGCGUGCUUAACACAUGCAAGUCGAACGGUAAAGCCCUUCGGGGUACACGAGUGGCGAACGGGUGAGUAACACGUGGGUGAUCUGCCCUGCACUUCGGGAUAAGCCUGGGAAACUGGGUCUAAUACCGGAUAGGACCACUGCCUGCAUGGGUGGUGGUGGAAAGCUUUUGCGGUGUGGGAUGGGCCCGCGGCCUAUCAGCUUGUUGGUGGGGUGAUGGCCUACCAAGGCGACGACGGGUAGCCGGCCUGAGAGGGUGACCGGCCACACUGGGACUGAGACACGGCCCAGACUCCUACGGGAGGCAGCAGUGGGGAAUAUUGCACAAUGGGCGCAGGCCUGAUGCAGCAACGCCGCGUGAGGGAUGACGGCCUUCGGGUUGUAAACCUCUUUUAGUAGGGAAGAAGCGAAAGUGACGGUACCUGCAGAAAAAGCACCGGCUAACUACGUGCCAGCCGCCGCCGUAA
rnacentral:rRNA from 1 species